CAUAGUGGUAUGUUUUGAAGGUUUUUUUAAUUACUGUGACAUUGUAUACUACAAGUCUACAACUUGUACUGCAUGACCUCUAGCCACUGGACGUUGAUGGACAUCGCAUAAGUAACUGCAUGUUUUGUGCUCUAACCUAAGUUUAACCAAGCAGCAGGCACCUACUGGAAAUUGACUCAGAUCUGCUACUAAAAUUCAAUGUCAAUUGUCAAUUACCCAAGUUAAUUUAGAUUUUUACACUUGUCCUUUUGAUUUCUUUAUGCAACCAUUUCUUCUAAAUGGUUUUACUAAAUGGUGGAAGUAUAAAUAGCUUCCCACUAUAUAAAGAACUUGACACCUAAUGGUAUUGUAGAGUGGAAAUAGAACACUUAAUCAGUUUUAGCAAUUUAGCCGCACUGAUGUGUCCUGGACACUUUUAAAUACCACAUUGUCUUCUAUAAAAGAGUAAAAUGCACCUAGGUCCAUGAACUUUGAAAGUUCAGUUUUGGGUCCCUGAACUUUUUAAGUGGGUCACCAGAGGUCAGGGAUUACAUUUUCGUUUUGUAAUUUCCGAAAACCAUUUUGUUGACCAAAGUUUGACUUUUAUAUUUUCAAAUUCUGAACCGAAAUAU
rnacentral:lncRNA from 7 species